ensembl:snoRNA
AUCUGGAGAUAAUGAUGGUUCCAAGCACAUAUCUGAUUAUUAUGUUGAAUACCUCAAUGACUGAAUCUCCUAUGGU